AGGAUGGUGCUAAGGUAUGGUUUUUAGGUUUCCUUAGAUGCUGCUAAUUCUUCAAUAUCCUCUCAACCUUAAAUUCUGUUUUAACCAAAAUGAUUUGACCUUAUAUUGAUUUGGAGUUUCUUCAGCAUUUUUUUAGCUUCACUUUAGUCACUAGUCAUGCAUUAGACCAUAGUUUUGUCACUACACACCCCACCAUAUUCUGCCCGCAUUCUCUUUCACAGCUCUUUAACUAUUUUUUCUCAAGUAUUUCAUGCUCCAUACGAGUAUAAGCAAUGGUUGGCAGCAAGGCUACUCAACUCAGCCCCCAUAUUUCUGAUGAGUAAUCAAUUUAUAUCCCAUUUCAGGUUCAGGUCACUGACUUGGUAGGGAGGACUGUUCUCUUGUACUUCUCAGCACAUUGGUGCCCCCAUGUCGUGCCUUCACUCCAAACUUGUUGAAGCAUACAACAAGAUCAAGGCAAAGGAUGAAGCGUUUGAAGUGGUUUUUAUUUCUAGUGACAAGGAUCAAGCCUCCUUUGAGGAAUAUUAUUCAGAAAUGCCCUGGCUGGCACUUCCUUUUGGUGAUGCUAGGAAGCCAUUGUUGAGUCGCAAUUCAAGGUCCAAGGCAUCCCUAUGCUUAUUACCAUCGGACCAACUGGAAAAGCUGUUACAAAUGAGACCAGGAUCUGAUAAUGGACCAUGGGGCCGAUGCUUAUCCUUUCACUGAGGAGCGUUUGAAGGAGAUUGAGGCGAAGUAUGAGGAGACGGCAAAGGAGAUGGCAAAGGAGUGGCCUGAGAAGCUAAAACAUGAACUGCAUGAGGAGCAUGAGCUGGUGCUAACUCGUCGCAGGUCUUACUAUUGUGAUAAAUGCAAUGAACGAGGACAAAUCUGGUCAUUCUACUGUGAAGAAUGUGACUUUGAUCUGCAUCCAAAGUGUGCCCUGGAAAAAGAUAAAGAAACCAAAGCUGAUGAAAAGGAGGAAGAAAGUCCAAAGGAAGGCUGGGUCUGUGAUGGGGAGGUUUGCAAAAGAGCUUGAUGAACUUUAUCCAUGGGUUUGGUGGUGCAAUUUUCUAUUUUUCAUGUAUGUUUUCAGUUAUGGCAGUGGUAGUCUACUCUAUGGUUUGUUUCUUGUUGGGCUUGGAAAUACUUGGGUAUUGUAGCAGUGGUGCUCUAUGGUUUUUUUCUUAUGAAGCUAUGUCAUAUCUUACGAGGUAAUAAAACUUUGAAAGCGGGUCUUAAGUAGCAAUGGUGUUCUAAACUUGAAUGCAUAUCUACUGUGAAAAACCUGCAGAUUGGGUGCUCUAUGUACUGUAGAUUGGAUUGCACUGUCCACUCCACGUGUUGAUUUCUUUUUUAAUUUUUUACAUAUUUAUUAUAAAACGUUUUUGGGGUUCUCAUAGCUUUCUCUUAUUGGUGCGCUCUACUUCUUUAUUUUUUUUAAUAUCAUAUAUUUCUACUUUUUAUAUUUAAUUAUAAAAAAUUUGAAAAUGAGACAAUUUUUUUGUUUUUGGUGGGACUCUUUUUCGGUUUGGUUUUUUCAAAUUUUUAUGUAUUUUAUAUUUUUCCAAUGAGGGCUGGGAUUCACUUUUUUUGAAUAUUUUUUUUCAGUUUUACAUUUUUUAUAUGUUUUCAUUUUUCUUUAUAUUUUCUAUAAAAAAAUUUUUGAAAGUAAGAUUCACAAUUCUUUGUGCUUUGUGGGACUCUCUUUUUUUUUUUUUUUUUUACGGUUUGUCUUUUAAAAACUUUCAAAUUUUUUUAUAUAUUUUAUUUUUUUUAUUUCAAAGGGAUCCAUUAUUUUGGGAGAAACCCAUUAUUCUAUUAUAAUUUUUUUUUGGAAUCUGUUUUUUUUACUAAUCUUUUAGGGUGACGAGGUUUUUUAUUUCGAAGGGAUACAUUUCUUAAUUUUUAAAAAAAUUUAAUUAUUUAUUAUAUAUUUUUAUUACUUAGUUGAUACAAAAUGUUGUGUUUCUUUUUAAUUAAGUUUUCAUUUUAUAUAUUUUUUCAUUUUUUUUAUAUUUAAUAAAUUAUUGUUUAGAUUUUAAUUUUUUAUCAAUUUGUCAAAAAUAUGUGAGUAACAAAUAAUUUAUUUAUUUUUUACUUUUACCGUUUAAUUUUUUUUCUUGUUGAUAAAUUUUUUAUUUUUUAUUUAAUAAAUAUACUUGAAAUAUUUUUUUAACUGAUGAACAAAUUUGAUAUUAUUAUUAAGGAUAUAUUUUUUAGUUAUUUUUUAUAUGAUAAUUUUAAAAAUUAUUAACGAGGAGGUCAAUGUCAUAUCUUAAUUUAAUUUUUUUGUCCUUUCUUUUGGUUUUUUUUUUUCAAAUUCAUGAUAUAAAUUUGUCAAAAAAUAAUUAUUGCCGGUGUUAUGUGUCAACUUAAUUUUUUUUUAUUUUUUUCAAUAGUUUUUUUAUUCCUGUUUUUUCCACUUUUCUAUUUAAUAAAUAUUUUUUAUUUAUUCUUUUAUGGGUAGGGUAAUUUUUAUUAAUAAUUAGAAUAAUUUUUGUACCUUCUUUUGUAAUUAAAUAGUUUUGUAUAGAAAUAUAUUAAUGGAUGUAUCAACAUGAUAUCUAGAUUUGAUUUUUUUUUAAAAUUUUUUAAAAUUUUAUAAUAUAAGAAAAAUGAUCUUCUUAAUCAAUAAUAUCAAAUUGGCUUUGCAAACAAAAAAUCACAAUAUAAUAAAAAAAUUAAAUAUAAAAAAGUAAAUAAAAAUAAAAAUAUAUAAUACAAAUUUUACAAGAAAAGUUAAUAGUGAUAUGGGUAUAAAAUAACCCACAUCCGAUAAGUUUUAAUUUAUUUGGAUUUAAUACAAUUAUUUUACAAAAAAUUAAGAUCAAGUCAAAAAUAAAUUUAUGAUGUUCUGUUUUACUUUAAUUAUAUAUGUUAAAUUAUAGUUUAAAUUAUUUAUUUAAUUUUAUAUUUAUAUGUAUUAUAUUAAUAAAAUUAUUAUUUAAUAUCUUAAUUUAAUAAAAAAUUAUAUUUAUGCAUAAUUAAAAUUAAAUUUAUUUAUUAUAUAAAUUUAAUUCAAUUUUUUUGUUUGAUCUUCAUUUAAAGUCUCAACAUGCCAUUUUUUUCUCUUUUUUCUUUUAACUUCUUAUGGACUUUUUAUUUUGAUAAAUUUUGUGAAAAAAAAUAUAUAAAUGCCUACGUGAUACCCCGAUUUAUUUUUUUUGAUUUUUUUAAUAAAAUAAAAUUUAUAAUAAAAUGAGCUGAUUUAUAGCAAUGACAAAAUAAUUUGUAUAAUACCCCGAUGAGCUUUCCUUUACUUUGUUUAAAUUCUUUUUUCUUUAACCCCAAUCUUGCUUUUUUUUUUUUUUAUGAUUUUCACAUGGCAAUCCAUUUGAGUUUUUUUUAUCUUUAGUUUCUUUUUUGCAUUUUUUUAAUAAGAUAAUUUUUGUAACACAAGUUGCAAAUUUAUAAAUAUGUCAAAACAAUUUGUAUCUCACAAUUCUUGAUUUAUCUUAAUUCAACAAAUAGAUGAUUUUCAAAAAUCAAGAUUGAAUUACGACAAGUUGAAUUUUUAAGAAAAAUACAAGAUUAGAUAAAAAGUGUGUUCAUAGUAUUUUGUUACAACCUAUUUUGAAGUGUUUAUAAUUUUUUUUUAAUUUUUUGUUUAGUUAUAUAUAUAUAUAUAUAUACAUAUAUGUAUUCUAUUAGUAAAUUAAUUCUUUUUAUUUUAAUUAAGAUUUUUUUAUUUUAAGCUUAAUAUGAUAUGUCAAUGUAUCAUCCUCUAUUUGCUCUUUUUUUUCUUUUUAUAACUUAAUUUUAGUUUUUUUUCAACUUUUUUCAUUUACUUUUCUCUCACUUUUUACUUUUUUUUUUUGGUGUUUUUCAUAUUUUUUGGACUAAUUUAAAAGAAAAGUUGGUCAAUUAAGAUAUACAUGUUUCAUCUCCAUUUAUUUUUCUCUCAUUUUAUAUAUUUUUUAAAUUGGAUAAAUUUUGCAACAAAAAACAAUAAUUAGAUAUGGUAAAACAGAAAAAAAUUUACUCGCAAUUAGAUCAAAUAAUUCAAAACAUGACUCAAUGGUAUAAUAUAAAAAAGAUAUAAAAAAUGAAAAUAACACAAGUUAAAAUUGUAGCAAAAUAAAUAAAAAAUAAUUUUUUUGUAUUAAUAUGAAUUAUAAUAUGUAAUUUUUAUGAAAAACAUAAUAUAAAUAUACGAAUUCUUAAUAUUUUAUAUAACACGAUUACAUGAAUUGACAAGUCUAUCUGUGACAUCAUGUGGACACCUUUCUAAUUAUAUAUAUAUAUAUAUAUAACGUUAUGAAUGCUUUUUAAAUUAUGAUAAAAUAUUUAAUGCAAUGUUAGAAUUUAAAAAAAUUAAAAUAUGGUAGUUGAAUUAUGGAUCUAUUAGUUAAUAUGGUGUUUGCUUCUAAUAUAAUUAAUCUAAAAUAAUGAUACGUGACAAAUAAAUAAUAUUUAAAUAUUAUAUUAAUUAAUAAAUCUGUAAUUUAAAUAUUAUAUUAAAAAAUUUUUAAAUUUAUGCAUCACGUUAAAUAUUUAUUAUUCAAAAUCAUUUGUGACAUUAAUCAUAAAAAAAUAAAAAAUACUAUUUGCAGUACUAAUUUCCCUCAAACUCUUGAUCAUUGGUAUAUAGUCUUAAUUAUUACAGGAUAUUUGGUUCGUGAAAUUUUAAAUUUUGAGAAAAAGUAUGAUCUUUGAAGAAGUAUAAUUUCGAAGAAAAUGUGAUUUUUAAUGGCAUCUCAUUUUUAAAUUCCUAUAUUUAGUUAGGAGAAAUAUGAGAUUACUUAAUCAUUCUUUUUACUAUAAUGUCUUUCACUACAUAACAAAUCUAACAAUUUGUUAAAUAAAAAUAAUUGACAAAAAAUACAUUUCAAAUUGUAGAAACACAAUAUUCGACUGACUAAUUAUAAAAAAAAAAAAGAAUUAGUCAUCAAUUAUUGCAUUAAUUUCAUGCAGUAAUUGAUUAUACACUUGUUUUAAAAAAAUUAUAAUAAAUAAUUAUUGCAUUUAGCUUUAAAAAAAUAUAGUAAUUGAUUAAUUUGAAAAAAUUAUAAUAUACAAUUAUUGCGUUUAUCCUAAAAAAAAUAAUUAAUUAUUUUUAAAAAAUAACAAAUAAGUAUUGCAUUUACUUUUAAAGAAAUUUAAUAAUUAAUUAUUUUAUUAAAAUUAUAAUAUAUAAUUACAGCAUUUAUGACUAAACAAAAUACAAUAAUUGAUUAUUUUAAAAAAUUAUAAUGAAUAAUUGCUGUGUUUAUUUUUUAAAAGAUGAAAUAUUUAAUUAUUUUAAAUAAAUUAUAAUAAUUAAUUAUUACAUUUAUUAAAAAAAUACAAUGAUUAAAAUUUUUAUAUAUUUUACAAAAAUUACAAAAUAUAAUUGGUGCAUUUAAUUUUACUGAAACGCAAUAAUUAUUUAUUUUACAACAAUUCAUUGGCAUUGUAUAUAUUAUAAGUAGAUAGCUAAAAAAAAUUUUAGAUCCAUCGCAUGGGUCCCAUCUCCAAUUGUUCCUUCUACAUUUUAUUUGGUCCCCUCAUUUCAUAGCGCGUUGAUCCCAUCUUCAAUUAAUGCAACGGAGAGACUCAUAUUAGCCGCUGCCACAUAUCUAACGACUUCAAAAGAGUGGAAUGGCAUGUGAAAAAUAAAAACGCAGUAAACGAUCAUAAUUAUUGCAUUUCAAAAUCUUCAAACGUAAUAUUCAAUUAAAAAAUAUAAAAAAAUUUCAUAGUAGUCAAAUAGUAUUUUUUAUUUAAAGAAACGUGGUAAAUAUUAUAAUUAUUGUAUUUUAAAAUUUAUAAUUUCAGUAUUUGAAUGAAAAAAAUAAAAAAAUUCAUAAUUAUUGUAUUUUUUUAUAUAAAUGUCAUAUUUGACAUUUAAAAAAAAAAAAACUCAAAUGCUAUCCCACAUUUUUCAAUAAACAUAAUAUUUGUGAUAUUUAUUUUUUGUUAAAAAAUUUUAAAUUUCAUUAUCAUAUAUUGAUUUUUAAAAAAAUAAAAUAAAAAAAUUUUUUUAUUCAAAUUAAAUAUGAAAUAAAGGUUUUUUUUUUUUCAAAAUCUUAGAAUAUCACGGAAAAGUAAAAUUUUAAUUCCUAAAUUUUUGAGUACUGUUAAGAGAUUUUUUCAAGAAUCGGAUACAUCUAAUAAAACAUGAAAAUUUAAGUACUCAACAACAACACUCCAAAGGAAAUUCUGGUGAAGAUAUCUUGCAUUCUGGGGUUAGGAUGCACGGUGUUAAUGCUAAAGAACUUCAGUCAGCUUUGCAAGGGCAUCAGCAGCACUCACUUACUCAUGCAGAUAUAGCAUUGAUUCUACUUGCAGAAAUUGCAUACGAGAAUGAUGAAGACUAUCGCGAGCACUUACCUCUGCCCUUUCAUGUCACAUUUGUUUCAAUGGAUAGCUCUGAGGAUUUGUACUGGAGCACUGCCAGCAUUUGCUUGUUAAUCUACUAUACUCACUUGCAGGUCGGCACUUGGAGCUGUCUGAGGUUGAAAGCAACGAUGGAGUGAACAAGCAGCAGGUUGUCAGUUUGAUCAAGUAUGUUCAGUCAAACCGAGGGAGCGUGAUGUGGGAGAAUGAGGACCCUACAGUUACAAGGACAGAGCUUCCUAGUGCUGCACUUCUGUCUGCACUUGUUCAGAGUAUGGUUUGAUGCAAUCUUCUUCCAAGGAGAUCUUCAAGAGACUUGGGGUGUUGAGGCACUCAAAUGGGCUAUGGAAUGCACGUCAAGACACCUUGCCUGUCGUUCUCACCAGAUCUAUCCUGCAUUGCGGCCUAGUGUUACAAGUGAUACAUGUGUAUUACUCCUUCGUUGCCUACAUAGAUGCUUGGGAAAUCCAAUACCUCCUGUUCUGGGCUUCAUCAUGGAAAUUUUACUGAACUUGAAAGUAAUGGUGGAGAACAUGGAGCCAGAAAAGGUGAUUCUCUACCCACAACUCUUUUGGGGUUGUGUGGCCAUGAUGCACACAGAUUUCAUUCAUGUCUACUGCCAGGUUCUUGAGCUUUUCUCGCGUAUGAUUGACCGUUUAUCAUUCCGGGACAGAACAAUUGAAAAUGUUCUCCUUUCCAGCAUGCCUCGAGAUGAGCUUGAUAAUGUUGAUAUUGGGGAUUUUCAGCGUAUGGAAUAUAGGGGCUAUGAUUUGCCAAACACCAGUGGCAAUCUGCCAGCAUUUGAAGGAGUGCAGUCCCUUGUACUUAAAGGACUCAUGUCCACUGUUAGUCAUAGCAAUUCAGGUCCUCUCUCGUAUCAUAGUGCACUCAUGUGACUCCAUUUUUGGGGAUCGCAAGACUAGACUACUGAUGCACAUUACAGGAUUGCUUCCCUGGCUUUGCUUACAGCUCGGCAAAGACCCGUUGGUGGGCCCAGCUUCACCACUGCAACAACAGUACCACAAAGCCUGCUCCGUUGCUGCCAACAUCUCAAUUUGGUGUCGAGCAAAAUCAUUGGAUGAAUUAGCCACUGUGUUUAUGGCUUACACCAGAGGUGAGAUCAAAAGCAUUGAUAAUCCCCUUGCCUGUCUCACCGUUAUUGUCCAACGAAUGGCUCCCUAAGCACUCAGCUCUGGCUUUUGGACACCUGCUACGGCUACUGGAGAGAGGUCCAGUUGAGUAUCAACGUGUAAUAUUGCUCAUGCUUAAGGCAUUGCUCCAGCAUACCCCCAUGGAUUCGGCUCAGAGCCCACACAUGUAUGCCAUUGUAUCACAGCUAGUUGAGAGCACCUUGUGUUGGGAGGCACCAAGUGUGUUAGAAGCUCUUUUGCAGAGUUGUAGUUCAUUGCCUGGUUCACACCCACUUGAGUCUGGGCCAAUUGAAAAUGGGACAGAUGACAAGAUGCUAGCUUCUUAGACCUCAUUCAUGGCUCGAAGUGGGCCACUACAGUAUGCCAUGGUAUCUGGUUUCGGGGUAAGUUCAACAUCAGUUCCACAAGCAGUUUCCUCCGAGUCACUUAUGACACCUAGAGAAGUGGCUUUGCAAAACACUCGAUUGAUCCUCGUGAGGGUGCUCGACAGCUGCGCCCUGGGGAGAAGAAGGGAAUAUAGAAGGCUGGUGCCUUUUGUGACCACAAUUGGAAACCCAUGACCUGCAAGCCUGCACAUUUAAUAUUUUUAUAUAUAUUUUUACUUCUUUUCCUUUUGCUAUUAAUUUUAAGUAGCUUACAUUAUACUUUUCAGAUCAAGCGCUGGGAAAACUUGGGACCUGGCUCUGGGCAUCAUAAGUCUGUAAUUGUUAUUAGUGGUGUAAUAUUUUUGGAAGUGUUAGCAUUCCAGGCCUAUUCUUUAUAACUGUGUAAUUCCCAAUUUCUCUCAAACCAUUCCUUCGCUUUUGCUACCAUCAAACUUCCAGUUUUUAUUUUUAUUUUUUUUAAGCCCGCUGUCAUGGUCCUGAAGGAUGUUAUCAAUAAUUUUACAUUGGGAAUUUGAUUGGCUGUGUAAAUGUUUGGUAUAUCUUCGAUUUUAACUUGUUUUUUCAAGGCAAUACUAUAAGAUUCAAGAGAUAAAAGUAGAUAAUAUUUAACAAGUUGGUGUGAAACGAACAAUAUCUCUUGUGUGCUACUCAACAUUCAACGGACUGCAAUGAGACUUUAAAGUCCUAUUAACUAUGAUGUGCAAUUCAGGCUUCAAGGAGAAGGAAGCAUAUCGAUUAGCUGGAGAAAAGAAAUCUCGAAAUUGGUUGUAAAGUAAGUUCAUCAAUUUAAGAGCUUCUAAUUCAAAAGCAAAGAUAUUUCCGUGGUUGAAGAAGAUGCUGAUGACAAUAAGAAGUCGGCUUCUGGAUUUCUGCUUCUGUUUUUACUCAUCUUGCUUUUUCUAUCCGAUGUGAUUGUCAAUUUCAUUUACGUUUUUGUCUGGCAAUUACAAUUUAUGUUUUAGCUUUUGCAGUUCAACUGAGAUGAAAAUAAGUUUCUGGUAUCAACAUCUUUGAAUAUGCUUUGUCUGUGUAGGUAGAUUUUUGUUUUGAAUUAAAUACAUAUAAAAUUUAAAAAUUAAUUUUAUAAUUUAUGUUAAAUAUAUUAAAUACUAAAUAUAUAUUUUAAAUUUUCUUAAAUUUAUGUAUAAUUUUUACUAAAAUUUUAAUUCAUAACUCAUAAAUUUUAUACCGAAUGAAUAUUCCACUAGUUUGUUUAUUCUUCUUUACUCUUUCCUUAAUGACAAAGUUUGUAAUAUUAAAAAAAAAAAGAACAAAAAGAUAAGAUCAGAAGACUUAGAACAGAAAACGUGGCGUAGUCAGCAGUCCAGCAGGAAACUCCAACAAAAGUACACCAUUACAAAACAAAUAUGAUGUGACAUUCCUUAACGCCAUUGGUCCCCGUGGAAUCUCGGCAACGUGAGUGGCCGCCGUGCCUUGACUUGCCUUGCCCCUGCCUUCAUUGUCAAGAGAAAAAUGUAAAUUCCAUAAAUCAGCAGCUGCAGAGUGCAGAGUGGCUUACCGCUUUCACCUUCACUCAUCAUCCAAAAGAAAAAAAGAAAAAAAACCAAACCAAAUAAUUCUGUUUCACAAUGGCAGAGGUUGAAAACAAUGUUUGCUGAAUACGAUCAACGGUGAUUGUCAGGAUUUUAAGUCGCUUCUGUCUUCUUCAGACAGGGAUUUCCUCGUCCGUAACAACGGUGAUCAGGUAACUAAGUCCGGUAGAACAAAUCUUUCUUGUCCUGAUUUUUGUCUUCUUGUAACCUUUAUCAAAGUUUGAUUAAAAGGGUCUUUAGAAGAGGAAAACAGUUGAGUUUAGGAUUUUCCUUUUAAACUUUUCUGUGCUUAAGUUUUAAUCUUCUAGAAGGGAAAGCUGGGAAAUUACAUUUUUUGGGAAUGGAUUUUGUUUCUUUUAAGAUUAGAUGUAGUCAACUGGGAUAAGGAUUUAAGGAUGUUUUCUGAACUGGGUUGGAGCUUUCCAUUGGCUGCCUAAAUCAAAUGAAAUUGACAAGUUAUAUUGGGUAAAUAUUAUAGUUUUUAAUAGUAAUAAUAAUCGUAACUGUCUCUACACGUUUAUUUUAAUAUGCUUUUUCAACGACUGGACCUGAUGAAUAAUAAUAGUAUGAGAUCUACUGUUGUGAUUUUAGUUUAAGGUAUAUGAACUUUAUGGUUUGUUGGAUAUUAUCCUGUGCAUUUGAGUGGGAUCUGGAUAACUGUCACUGUUGGAAGGGUUUUUCUUUUCUCUGUUCUUUGCGAUAAUUAUGUUUGGCAAUAUAGCCUGAGAUUUUCAUUUUACAGGUUAAAAUUGACAGUUUGAAGGGGAAGAAACUUGGAUUGUAUUUCUCAGCAUCAUGGUGUGGUCCGUGUCGAAGAUUCACCCCUAAGUUAGUGGAGGUGUACUCUGAACUCUCUCCCAAAGGCGAUUUUGAGAUCAUUUUUAUCUCAGGAGAUGAAGAUGAAGAGUCGUUCGACGGUUACUUCUCUAAGAUGCCAUGGCUUGCAAUCCCUUUUUCUGAUUCUGAGACACGUGAGGGGUUGGAUAAGUUGUUCAAGGUGAUGGGAAUACCUCAUCUUGUGCUCUUGGAUGAAAAUGGUAAAAGUCUCCACUGAUGACGGAGUUGGGAUCAUUCGGGAGUAUGGGAUUCGGGCCUAUCCCUUCACCCCUGAAAAAUUUGCAGCGCUUGCAGAAAUAGAGAAAGCGAGAGAGGCAGCACAAACUCUGGAAUCGGUUCUGAUUUCAGGGGAUCUGGAUUUUGUCAUUGGGAAGGAUGGUGCUAAGGUAUGGUUUUUAGGUUUCCUUAGAUGCUGCUAAUUCUUCAAUAUCCUCUCAACCUUAAAUUCUGUUUUAACGAAAAUGAUUUGACCUUAUAUUGAUUUGGAGUUUCUUCAGCAUUUUUUUAGCUUCACUUUAGUCACUAGUCAUGCAUUAGACCAUAGUUUUGUCACUACACACCCCACCAUAUUCUGCCCGCAUUCUCUUUCACAGCUCCCUUCCCUUUUUUUAACUAUUUUUUCUUAAGCAUUUCAUACUCCAUACGAGUAUAAGCAA
rnacentral:lncRNA from 1 species